GCUGGGUGUGGUGGCUCACGCCUGUAAUCCUACAAAUCCAGGAGGCUGAGGCAGGAGGAUCAAAAGGUGAAGGCCAGCCUCAGCAAUUUAGCCAGGCUCUU
rnacentral:sRNA from 1 species